GAGGGUAUAGCUCAAGUGGUAAAGCGCAUGCUUGGCACAUAGGAGGUCCUGGGUUCGAUCCCCAGUACCUCCU
rnacentral:tRNA from 1 species